GCAUUGGUGGUGUAGUGAUCACCACAGCUACCUUCCGAGCAGUUGACCUGGGUUCGAUUCCUGCCCAACGCA